GAGAACGCUGGCGGCGUGCCUAACACAUGCAAGUCGAGCGGAGAUGUACUGAAGAUUUAUCGGAUGUACAUCUUAGCGGCGGACGGGUGAGUAACGCGUGGGCAACCUGCCUUCCACUGGGGGAUAACACAGGGAAACCUGUGCUAAUACCGCAUGACAUCACAUAGGGCAUCCUGUGUGAUCAAAGGAGUGAUCCGGUGGAAGAUGGGCCCGCGUCCGAUUAGCUAGUUGGUGAGGUAACGGCUCACCAAGGCGACGAUCGGUAGCCGGACUGAGAGGUUGGCCGGCCACAUUGGGACUGAGACACGGCCCAGACUCCUACGGGAGGCAGCAGUGGGGAAUAUUGCGCAAUGGGGGGAACCCUGACGCAGCGACGCCGCGUGAAGGAAGAAGGCCUUCGGGUUGUAAACUUCUUUGAUGAGGGACGAAGGAAGUGACGGUACCUCAAAAACAAGCCACGGCUAACUACGUG
rnacentral:rRNA from 1 species